UUUUAAAACAGGGACCAAAUCGAAAAGAUGUAAAUUAAAUCCAAAAUCCUACAUUCUCUUGGAACGAAGGAAAUGAAGUUAUUUUUAGCGAAAGAAGAAGGAAAAAAAAGCGAAGCAAAAGAAACUAGAAUGGAUUUUGAGAAAUCCUCAGUUUCCAUAAAAGAUGACACUGAAAUGGCGGACGAUGACACUGCUCAAAACCCUGAGAGCAGUCGGAAACUCAGUAGCGACUCGGACUCAAGCGAUUCAGAAGACGAAGCGGAGCAGACACAGCAGCUUCGAGCUUUAGAGUCUGACCUCUCUACCAAUCCUUCCAACUACGACGCCCAUAUCUUGUACAUAAAGCUUUUGAGGAGAAGGGGUGAAAUAGAGAAGCUACGAGAAGCUAGGGAAAAUAUGAAUGUAUUGUUUCCAUUGACUCCAGCAAUGUGGGUGGAAUGGGCCAAAGAUGAAGCUUCUCUUCUGAAUGAUUCCGAUUCCGAGUCAGUCGAGAAGCUUUACGAGAGAGGCAUCUCUGAGUAUCUGUCUAUCCCCCUUUGGCGUGAGUACCUAAAUUAUGUGCUACAACAUGAUCCAAAAGUAUGUGAUAGUUCAGUUGACGGGAUUUCAAAGGCUAGAAAUCUUUUUGAGCGUGCUGUUACUGCUGCUGCUUUACAUGUUGCUCAAGGUUCUCAAAUAUGGGAUGCAUACACUCAGUUUGAGCAAUCUAUUUUACUAACCAUUGACCAAUCAGACAUUCAGGCAAAGGAGAACCAGGUCCAGCGCAUUCGAAGUAUAUUCCAUCGUCAAUUGUCUAUUCCCUUUGCUAACAUGAAGUCUACUCUCCUAUCCUACAAGGCAUGGGAGGUGGAACAAGGAAAUUCUCUUGAUGCAGAAUCCGACAAUGUGGAUGGGAUUUCCUCCCAUGUUGCUUCAUCUUACCGGAAGGCGGAGGAGAUGUACAAUGCCCGUGCUCAUCUUGAAGAACAUAUUACAAGACAGGGUAUAUCUGAGUCUGAAAGAUAUCAACAUUUUAUGAGCUACUUAGAUUUUGAAAAAUCCUUUGGGGAUCCAGCACGAGUCCAAAGUCUGUAUGAACGUGCCAUAACUGAUUUUCCUGUAUCAAGUGAUCUCUGGCUUGAUUAUACUCGCUAUCUUGAUAAAACCUUAAAGGCAGGCAACAUUGUGAAGGAUGUUUAUUCCAGGGCGACAAGAAAAUGCCCCUGGGUUGGAGAACUUUGGGUUCGGUAUUUGCUAUGUUUGGAGCAUGGUCUUGCUUCUGAGAAAGAGAUAUCUGCUGCCUUUGAGAAGUCCGUGCAAUGCACAUUUUCGACCCUUGAGGAGUACCUUGAUUUGUUCCUCACUCGAGUGGAUGGCCUAAGGCGUAGACUUUCAUCAGCCAGAGGAGAUGAUGUUUUGAACUAUUCAUUGAUUAGGGAAUCUUUUCAGCAAGCAACAGAUUACUUAUCACCACACUUGAAGAACACUGAUGGUUUAUUGCGUUUGCAUGCUUAUUGGGCCUGCUUAGAGCUUAAAUUGAAUAACAAUUUAACUGCUGCUCGUGGUGUUUGGGGGAGCUUGCUUAAAACCUGUGGUUCAAUGUUGGAAGCAUGGCAAGGUUUUAUAGCAAUGGAAAUUGCUUUAGGCCAUAUAAAUGAAGCCAGGGCCAUAUACAAGAGAUGCUACAGCAAAAGAUUUAGUGGAACAGGUUCGGAGGAUAUCUGCCAUGCUUGGUUGCGCUUUGAGAGGGAGUUUGGAACAUUGGAUGAUCUUGACCAUGCUGUGCAAAAGGUUAUGCCUCGUCUUGAGGAGCUGCAAUUGUUUAGGUUAGAGCAAGAAUCUAAAUCUUUAACUGAAGUGACAAAUCAAAGGGAGCGGCCCCUUAAGAAAACUGCUAGUGAAAAGAGGAAAUUGGGUUCAAUCGCAAUUGAUGAACAGUCUCCAGCUAAGCGGCAGAAAAGUACUCAAAAUCAGAAGAAAUUGCAUGAGAAAGAGAACACACGAGGGCUGAAGUUAGCUGAAGCAAAUGAUGGGGAAGAGAAAAAGGGCAAGGUUGAGGAACAAGUAAACGAGCAGCUGGUGAAAGACACUUAUUCUAGUAAAACCAGAUUAUAUACAGAUCAGUGCACUGCAUUUGCAUCAAAUCUUAACAUUAGGGCAAUAGAUGAAGAUCUAAAGCAAUUCUUUAGUGAUGUUGGUGGAGUCACUGCGAUUCGAAUUCUGCAUGACAAGUUCACUGGAAAAUCGAGGGGAUUGGCAUAUGUGGAUUUUAAGGAUGAAGAACACCUUGCUGCAGCUCUAGCAAAGAAUAAGCAAAUGUUGCUUGGCAAGAAGUUGAGCAUUACACGCUCCAAUCCAAAGCGAGGCAAGAGAGAAUCUGGUGCUCUCACUACAUCUGAACAUGAUAGCAAUCAGAGUGGAAUUGAAGGGAGUUCUGCUUCUAAAGAAUCUGUUGAAAUCUCAAAGGGUUCAAGCGUAGCUCCCCAGGUACCACAUUCUCGUAAGCAUUUUGAGAGCAUUCAACUGAAGGGGAAAAAUACGUUUGCGGUGCCUAGAAAUGUUAAACCACUUGGGUGGACUACUAGCAAGCCAGGAACCAAGAAAGAGGAAGAUGAGAAACCAAAAUCGAAUGAUGAAUUCAGAAAAAUGUUUAUGACAAGCUGAGGUAAUGCUCCACUCUGGCUGUUUAAUCUUUGGAUUUAGAGAUUUAAUUUCCAAACCUUGUGGGAUUACAGGUUUAGAAAUGGCUUGGGAAACAAAGAAAAGAUACAAGAUAUUCAGCAACAAGAAGGAAAAGGAUUGAAUAGAGGAAUUUUUGAACAUUUGGUGAUCGCAAGUCUCCGAGAUAGCUUGGUUGAUCUUUGGUUUAUGUUUCAGUUUUCAUUUCCCUUUCAUUUGUUUCGAGAGAUAUAUUGAUCAAUUUCAUUUCUUUCUUUUUUCUAUUGACUCUUUCAAUUAUGAUGUAGGGAUUCAUGAAUCUAUGUGUCUAUAUGGAUCUUGUUCAUGAAAAUGUGCAAAAGUUUUAUUUGCUGGAGAAAA